AGUCCAUAGUGUGGACAUUUUCGUAACAAAUUCCUAAAUCUUUCCCACGCUUCAUAUAAUGAUUCACCAUUUCGUUGACUAAAAUUAGUAAUGUCCAUUCUAAACUU